GGGGAGGCUGGGCGAAGCCUGAUCCAGCCAUGCCGCGUGUGUGAAGAAGGUCUUCGGAUUGUAAAGCACUUUAAGUUGGGAGGAAGGGCAGUAAGCUAAUACCUUGCUGUUUUGACGUUACCGACAGAAUAAGCACCGGCUAACUCUGUGCCAGCAGCCGCGGUAAUA
rnacentral:rRNA from 1 species